UGAUAAAAGUUCCUUUUUCCAGCCUGAUCGUGUUAUGGAAUUUUGCAAUAACAAUGAUCUCCAGUUAAUUGUUCGAGCACAUGAGUGCGUGAUGGAUGGAUUUGAAAGAUUUGCGCAGGGGCACUUGAUCACACUCUUUUCAGCAACGAACUACUGUGGUACUGCAAAUAAUGCCGGUGCUAUCUUGGUCUUGGGUAGAGAUUUGGUGGUUGUACCUAAACUAAUUCAUCCUUGCCGCCUGCAAUUUCAUCUCCUGAAACUUCUCCCGAACGCCAGAUAGAAGACACAUGGAUGCAGGAGCUGAAUGCCAACAGACCACCGACACCAACCAGAGGCCGCCCUCAAGUUGCUAACGAUCGAGGUUCUCUCGCUUGGAUUUAGGUUCCACUUGCAGAAUG